AUUGAACGCUGGCGGCAGGCCUAACACAUGCAAGUCGAACGAGUGGCGGACGGGUGAGUAAUGUCUGGGAAACUGCCCGAUGGAGGGGGAUAACUACUGGAAACGGUAGCUAAUACCGCAUACCAUCAGAUGUGCCCAGAUGGGAUUAGCUAGUAGGUGGGGUAAUGGCUCACCUAGGCGACGAUCCCUAGCUGGUCUGAGAGGAUGACCAGCCACACUGGACCUGAGACACGGUCCAGACCCCUACGGGGGGCAGCAGUGGGGAAUAUUGCACAAUGGGCGAAAGCCGGAUGCAGCCAUGCCGCGUGUGUGAAGAAGGCCUUCGGGUUGUAAAGUACGUUCAGCGAGGAGGCGUUACUCGCAGAAGAAGCACCGGCUAACUCCGUGCCAGCAGCCGCGGUAAUUC
rnacentral:rRNA from 1 species